CAGCAGGUUCCCAGGGAGGGUGAGCUGAUCCUCCACACCUAGAAGAAAACACCAGCCUCAGCUGGAGGGGAUCCAAUCCCACUGUGGCUACAGAUCUUCAGAAGGGAGGGGCUGGCCCUGUCUCCCUGUCUUUAGCUGAACCGGAGGCCAUCUUGAACUAUGCUCUGCUCUCUUCUUGCCCUUCUCCUCCUCAGUGCUUCCUUAGGUACCCAAGCUCAGACGAUCCAGCAAUGGCCGGCUGCCAGGGUGCAGACUGUGGGCAGCUCCCUUACGCUGGAGUGCAAGGUGACAGGAACAUCAAAUCCUAACCUAUACUGGUACCGGCAGGCCACAGGAGGGGCCCUCCAGCAGCUCUUCUACUCUAUCAGUGCUGACCAGGUAGACGCUGCAGCCUCCCACGGUCUCACAGCCUCCAGAUCCAAGGAUGGGCAGUUCUUCCUGAGUUCUGAAAAGCUGCUCCUCAGUGACUCUGGCUUCUAUCUCUGUGCCUGGAGUCUCACACUGCGCUGGGUGGGGCAGACAUCUGUGCAAAAACUCCACCCACUCCUCAGCCCUCACCAGCGGCCCUCCCCAGGAGCCCUUACCCAGAGACGGGUGGAAGAUGUUGGUGACAAGGUCCCUGGCUUUUAGCCAAGGCGAGACCCAGAAAUCUGUGUGAGUCAAGCCAGGCAUCUCCCAAGAACUUGACAAAGUUCUUUGUAAAAUCAUCUAUGCAAGCAGUGAAUUAUUUAGCAGAACCCGUGAAUCACCUAGAUCAGGUCUUCAAUACAUUUGUGUCUGGUCCUUGACUUACACCAGGCCUUGAAGCAUAGUAUAUUGUUGGUCAACAUUGUAUGUGUGUAUGUAGCUCAGAGAAGUACAGUACAGCUACAGUCAGACAUGAGGUCAAGUGGGCUGGUGCAUAGACUAGAAAAUGCAAACUAAAGCUACUUAAUGGGUUAAUUUAGUCACCUGGUGACUAAAAUUACUCCUGGGUCAUCAACCUUUCUGCUGACACUAGACAUUUUGUGGAGGUGUGGACCUGAGCCUUUGAGCCAGGGAGGGACAGUAGAGUUUUAUGCAGAUUAGAAGUUAAUGUAAGAAGCAUGCAUUUGAGAUUGCUGUUUGGGACAUUUGAGCUUUGAAAAAAUUCCAGUUCCUCUGUCUGGCUUCUCUUGUAGCAAAAGAGAGAGCAGAAUGACAGAUGGUGGGUGAUCAAAGACAUACACUAGACUGAGGAAAAAGAAGAGGGCUGUGUGUGCGACAGAAGAACCCUGAAAGGAGAAAUGACUUGGAUGGAAAUGAAGAGGAAAAAGGGCAAUGUGAAUAGUUGGAAAGGAUGCCUUGGUUACCUUGGCAACCGGCUUCCUGCAUUCCUCAUUCUUCUCUAGUCCUUUUUCUUUUUUUUUUUCUAGUCCUUUUUCUUAAAGAUUUUCUUCUGUAAUGCCCUUUAUCUUCCACAAGGGGGCACAAGAAGUUUGAAAAUAACUAAAAUCGCAUCCCAUAAUCUAGGAUUAUUCAGAAAUUAAAUGGUAUUUUCAAUAUCGUUUAGGCUGUGGGGAAAAAUCUGAGGGUGAGACACCACAUCAUCCAGAGUGUAAUACACUCUGGAAGUGUAAUAAUGGCGAAGAGUUCAGCUACACUUGAGGGAUCAAGUGCUAUUUUGUGCUCAGUGAGCCAGCAUGGAGAUUCAAAAGCACAAUGAGGUAUACUCAUCUGUGUUGGACAAGUUUAAUCCUUACUUUUUUAAGUGUAAAUUUACUAGAUUCUGUGAAGUUGAGCUGUUUAUUUAAAGCCUCUAGAUUUCAUUUCUUUAACCUAUAAAACUUGCCUGAGUAGAUUGUUACCUAUUUUAAAUGAGAUGGAGUGUGUGAGUCUCAUUACAAAUUUUCAACAGAUAGGAUCUUCUUAAGAUUACAGGAUUUGAUUGCAGCUUGCCACAAAUAAAUACAUUUAAACACUGAAGUUA